GGACCGGUGGUGUAGUGGUAGCACAUUACGUCCGCACGUGAAGAGGAGUGGUUCGAUCCCCUACCGGACCA
rnacentral:tRNA from 1 species